rnacentral:lncRNA from 1 species
AAAAUUAAUAGACUAAUAUGGCAAAUACAAUUUUUCUUCUUUCUUGUCUCUUUUUUUCUUCAGGUUAAAGGUGUGACAGAUUCAAAAUUCUACAUUCUAAGCAUUCCUGUUAUCUUUGUUUCCUGUGUUGCCUUCCUGUGGCCAGAGGUGCAAAAUGGUUAUCUAAGAAGGAAAUGAGCAGACAAGGCUACUGGGUGAUUCACAAUGAACUGUAAAGUCAUCACAGUUUGUAUUUGCCAUCAUGGAGUUGAUGAAUAUCUGAAGAUCACCUUGAGGGUUGAGAGAAGUUUCUAGCUUUGUUGCAAUGGGGACCUGGAGCUGUACCCCCACCUGUCCCAGAAAGUGGAGAAGCUGCAGUAAGAAGUCCUGUGGAAGGUAGAGAAGGUGUGUGUCCUCCUGCUGCCCUCAUCAACAAGCUGAGCCAGUGGAGCUUAACAGACCUGUGAGAGCUCCAAGACCUGGCCUAUAUCCACCUCCAAACAGUAGACAUGGCUUCUCUUCACACAUCAUUCUCCUCUGGCCAACCCUAAUCAGAGACAUAUAAGGAAUUAAACUCUGAGAAACCUUGUUUGGUUUAAGCAAGUUGAAAUAUUAUAAAGAUGUUG